rnacentral:rRNA from 1 species
UACGUAGGGGGCAAGCGUUGUCCGGAAUCAUUGGGCGUAAAGCGCGUGUAGGCGGCUCGAUAAGUCUGCUGUGAAAGUCCAGGGCUCAACCCUGGAAUGCCGGUGGAAACUGUUGAGCUAGAGUCCGGAAGAGGCGAGUGGAAUUCCUGGUGUAGCGGUGAAAUGCGCAGAUAUCAGGAGGAACACCAAUGGCGAAGGCAGCUCGCUGGGACGGUACUGACGCUGAGACGCGAAAGCGUGGGGAGCAAACAGGAUUAGAU